GGAGUAAUACCGCAUAAAACAGGGGUCCCGCAUGGGAAUAUUGUUAAAGCUUCGGCGGUUGUGGAUGGGCAUGCGGACGAUUAGCUAGUUGGCGGGGUAACGGCCCACCAAGGCAACGAUCGUUAGGGGAACUGAGAGGUUGGUCCCCCACACUGGCACUGAGAUACGGGCCAGACUCCUACGGGAGGCAGCAGUAGGGAAUAUUGGUCAAUGGGCGGAAGCCUGAACCAGCCAUGCCGCGUGCAGGAAGAAGGCCCUCUGGGUUGUAAACUGCUUUUGACAGGGAACAAGAAGUCCAUGCGUGGAUUAGUGAGUGUACCUGUAGAAUAAGCCACGGCUAACUACGUG
rnacentral:rRNA from 1 species